rnacentral:rRNA from 1 species
CCUACGGGAGGCAGCAGUGAGGAAUAUUGGUCAAUGGACGAGAGUCUGAACCAGCAAAGUAGCGUGAAGGAUGACUGCCCUAUGGGUUGUAAACUUCUUUUAUAUGGGAAUAUAUUGUUCCACGUGUGGGAUUUUGUAUGUACCAUAUGAAUAAGGAUCGGCUAACUCCGUGCCAGCAGCCGCGGUAAUACGGAGGAUCCGGGCGUUAUCCGGGUUUAUUGGGGUUAAAGGGAGCGUAGGUGGACAGUUAAGUCAGUUGUGAAAGUUUGCGGCUCAACCGUAAAAUUGCAGUUGAAACUGGCAGUCUUGAGUACAGGAGAGGUGGGCGGAAUUCGUGGUGUAGCGGUGAAAUGCUUAGAUAUCACGAAGAACUCCGAUUGCGAAGGCAGUUCACUGGACUGCAACUGACACUGAGGCUCGAAAGUGUGGGUAUCAAACAGGAUUAGAUACCCUGGUAGUC